CCAGCCGUAAACGAUGGAUACUAGGUGUUGGCGGUUCAGACCGUCAGUGCCGCAGCAAACGUGAUAAGUAUCCCGCCUGGGGAGUACGGUCGCAAGACUGAAACUCAAAGGAAUUGACGGGGGCCCGCACAAGCGGUGGAGCAUGUGGUUUAAUUCGAAGCAACGCGAAGAACCUUACCAGGGCUUGACAUCCCUUGUCAGCCAUAGAAAUAUGGUGUUUCCGCAAGGAACAAGGAGACAGGUGG
rnacentral:rRNA from 1 species